AGAGUUUGAUCAUGGCUCAGAACGAACGCUGGCGGCGUGGCUAAGACAUGCAAGUCGCAGGGUGAAAAUGAUUUCCGGCUUGCCGGAAUGAAACACGACUGGCGAAAGGGUGAGUAAUGCAUGGGUAACGUACCCUGGACACGGGGAUAGCCGUUCGAAAGGACGAUUAAUACCCGGUAACACCCGCACCCCGCAUGAGGUGCGGUUCAGAGGGCGGGGAUCCCUUCGGGGACCUGUCGGUCUGGGAGCGGCCCAUGUCCUAUCAGGUAGUUGGUGAGGUAACGGCUCACCAAGCCUACGACGGGUAGCGGGACUGAGAGGUUGGCCCGCCACAUUGGGACUGAGACACUGCCCAGACUCCUACGGGAGGCUGCAGUAACGAAUAUUCCGCAAUGGGCGCAAGCCUGACGGAGCGACGCCGCGUGCAGGAAGAAGCCCUUCGGGGUGUAAACUGCUGUCAGGGGUAAGCAAGCGAACUCGGUUAAUACCCGGGGGAGUUGAGCGAUCCCAGAGGAAGCCUCGGCUAACUUCGUGCCAGCAGCCGCGGUAAUACGAAGGAGGCAAGCGUUGUUCGGAAUCACUGGGCAUAAAGAGCGUGUAGGCUGGCAGGCAGGUGUCUUGUGAAAUCUCCCGGCUCAACCGGGAAAUUGCUGGGCAAACCGCUUGCCUUGAGGCGGGUAGGGGCUGAUGGAACUCUGGGUGGAGCGGUGAUAUGCGUAGAUAUCCAGGGGAACGCCGAAGGCGAAGGCAGUCAGCUGGGCCCGUCCUGACGCUGAGACGCGAAAGCCAGGGGAGCGAACGGGAUUAGAUACCCUAGUAGUCC
rnacentral:rRNA from 1 species